CCCCUAGUAACGGCGAGUGAAGAGGGAAAAGCUCAAAUUUUGAAUCUGGUGUCUUUGGCGCCCGAGUUGUAAUCUAGAGAAGUGUUUUCCGUGUCGGACCGUGCACAAGUUCCCUGGAACGGGGCGUCAUAGAGGGUGAGAAUCCCGUAUAUGGCACGGGCUGCCGAUGCUUUUGUGAUACACUCUCAACGAGUCGAGUUGUUUGGGAAUGCAGCUCAAAAUGGGUGGUAAAUUCCAUCUAAAGCUAAAUAUUGGCGAGAGACCGAUAGCGAACAAGUACCGUGAGGGAAAGAUGAAAAGCACUUUGGAAAGAGAGUGAAACAGUACGUGAAAUUGUUGAAAGGGAAGCGUUUGAAGUCAGUCAUGUCGGGCGGGAUUCAGCCGGGCUUCUGCCAGGUGUAUUUUCCGUCAGACGGGUCAGCAUCAAUUUCGACCGGGGGAGAAAGACGUGCGGAAUGUGGCUGUCUUCGGGCAGUGUUAUAGCCGCGCGUUGUAUGCCUCGGUUGGGAUUGAGGAACGCAGCGCGCCUCACGGCCAGGGGUUCGCCUCUUGAUACGCGCUUAGGAUGCUGGCAUAA
rnacentral:rRNA from 1 species